rnacentral:rRNA from 1 species
CCUACGGGAGGCAGCAGUAGGGAAUAUUGGGCAAUGGAGGCAACUCUGACCCAGCCAUGCCGCGUGCAGGAUGAAGGCGUUAUGCGUUGUAAACUGCUUUUAUAUAGGAAGAAAUAGACCUUGCGAGGUAAGUUGACGGUACUAUAUGAAUAAGCACCGGCUAACUCCGUGCCAGCAGCCGCGGUAAUACGGAGGGUGCAAGCGUUGUCCGGAUUUAUUGGGUUUAAAGGGUGCGUAGGCGGUUUAUUAAGUCAGUGGUGAAAGACGGUCGCUCAACGAUUGCAGUGCCAUUGAUACUGGUAGACUUGAGUGUGAUUGAGGUAGCUGGAAUGGAUAGUGUAGCGGUGAAAUGCAUAGAUAUUAUCCAGAACACCAAUUGCGUAGGCAAGUUACUAAGUCACAACUGACGCUGAGGCACGAAAGUGUGGGUAUCAAACAGGAUUAGAUACCCUGGUAGUCCACACUGUAAACGAUGAUAACUAACUGUUGGCUUUUGGGUCAGUGGUACAGAGAAAUCGUUAAGUUAUCCACCGUGGGGAGUACGCCGGCAACGGUGAAACUCGAAAGUAGUAGUACGGCGNGAGAGACGCGACGACGACGACGACGGAGGGAGGAG